GCGGCCAAAGAUGGCCUCUACUUGUAAGCUAUCGCUGAGGGAUGGGCCUGCGGGCCAUUAGCUUGUUGGUGAGGUAACGGCUCACCAAGGCUGUGAUGGCUAGCUGGUCUGAGAGGAUGACCAGCCACACUGGGACUGAGACACGGCCCAGACUCCUACGGGAGGCAGCAGUGGGAAUAUUGCGCAAUGGGCGAAAGCCUGACGCAGCGACGCCGCGUGGGUGAUGAAGGCCUUCGGGUCGUAAAGCCCUGUCGCAGGGGAAGAAUAAGCAUCGGUAUAAUACGCCGGUGCCCUGACGGUACCCUGCAAGAAAGCACCGGCUAACUCCGUG
rnacentral:rRNA from 1 species